CCCUAGUUAGCUCAGUUGGUAGACUGCUCCACUGGAAAUGGAGAGGUUCCGGGUUCAAUACCCGGACCAGGCG
rfam:Ixodes scapularis strain Wikel colony gcontig_1108379497684, whole genome shotgun sequence.